rnacentral:lncRNA from 1 species
UUCUGCUCAAUGAAUGAUCAUUUCAUAAUGUUAACCUUUGAUCAAAGUAUAACAAUCCCCCCUUUUUUUCUCACAACAGACUAUAAAUUGUAAUUUCAGUAAGCUGGGUGACUAUACCAUUUGUAGGUAUAUAUCCUGUAUUUAUUAACUUACUCGUAUUUAUUAUUUUCAUUUAUUUUUUACUCAUUUUUUUUUCAUUUCUUUUCUGUACAAUGUUUUAUUAUUUUCUUUAUUAUUUUAUUGGCAAAUAUACAUGAAGAUAUAGAAAUUUAUAGC